AGGGGAAUAGUUUAAGGGUAGAACAGUAGUCUCCAAAACUAUCGGUGGGAGUUCGAAUCUCUCUUCCCCUGCAA
rnacentral:tRNA from 1 species